CCUACGGGUGGCAGCAGUGGGGAAUAUUGCACAAUGGGGGAAACCCUGAUGCAGCAACGCCGCGUGCGUGAAGAAGUCUUUCGGUAUGUAAAGCUCUAUCAGCAGGGAAGAAGAAAGACGGUACUUGACUAAAAAGCCCCGGCUAAAGACGUGCCAGGAGCCGCGGUAAUACGUAGGGGGCAAGCGUUUACCGGAUUUACUGGGUGUAAAGGGGGCGUAGACGGCUGUGCAAGUCUCAAGUGAAAGCCCGUGGCUCAACCGCGGAACUGCUUGGGAAACUGUAUAGCUUGAGUACGGGAGAGGCAGGCGGAAUGCCUAGUGUAGCGGUGAAAUGCGUAGAUAUUAGGAGGAACACCAGUGGCGAAGGCAGCCUACUGGACAGAAACUGACGCUGAGGCACGAAAGCGUGGGGAGCAAACAGGAUUAGAUACCCGGGUAGUC
rnacentral:rRNA from 1 species